rnacentral:lncRNA from 1 species
CAGGAGCAGGUAGAGAGCCAGAUGGCACUAGCGAAUUGCUAGUGAUGGUCUGUGGAUGAGAAAUGAGACUCGUGGUAGAGGUAGAAAUGGCGAAUCGACUCGCAGAGCAAUGUGGUUAGUAAAUUGCGGGAGUUGAGCCAUGACUCUUGAGAAUACCCGAGUAGUCCGAGUAUUACGGAUGUUGUUCCGGUAGAUCGAACAGUGAAAGUAGAAUCACUGUUGAGAAAGUAGUCAGUUAGUUGCGGAGUACGGGCACGUGGGCCUUAUAGUA